rnacentral:rRNA from 1 species
CCUACGGGAGGCAGCAGUGGGGAAUAUUGCACAAUGGGCGCAAGCCUGAUGCAGCGACGCCGCGUGAGGGAUGACGGCCUUCGGGUUGUAAACCUCUUUCAGUAGGGAAGAAGCGAAAGUGACGGUACCUGCAGAAGAAGCGCCGGCUAACUACGUGCCAGCAGCCGCGGUAAUACGUAGGGCGCAAGCGUUAUCCGGAAUUAUUGGGCGUAAAGAGCUCGUAGGCGGUUUGUCGCGUCUGCCGUGAAAGUCCGGGGCUCAACUCCGGAUCUGCGGUGGGUACGGGCAGACUAGAGUGAUGUAGGGGAGACUGGAAUUCCUGGUGUAGCGGUGAAAUGCGCAGAUAUCAGGAGGAACACCGAUGGCGAAGGCAGGUCUCUGGGCAUUAACUGACGCUGAGGAGCGAAAGCAUGGGGAGCGAACAGGAUUAGAUACCCUGGUAGUCCAUGCCGUAAACGUUGGGCACUAGGUGUGGGGGACAUUCCACGUUUUCCGCGCCGUAGCUACGCNUAGUGCCCGCUGGGNGNGCGCGAGNGUAACUANAGAGUGNGNGNGNGNGNGCGAGNGCACGAGGAGAG